UGCUGGGGGAUUAGUGGCGAACGGGUGAGUAACACGUGAGUAACCUGCCCUUGACUCUGGGAUAAGCCUGGGAAACUGGGUCUAAUACCGGAUACGACCAUCUGGCGCAUGUCAUGGUGGUGGAAAGCUUUUGUGGUUUUGGAUGGACUCGCGGCCUAUCAGCUUGUUGGUGGGGUAAUGGCCUACCAAGGCGACGACGGGUAGCCGGCCUGAGAGGGUGACCGGCCACACUGGGACUGAGACACGGCCCAGACUCCUACGGGAGGCAGCAGUGGGGAAUAUUGCACAAUGGGCGAAAGCCUGAUGCAGCGACGCCGCGUGAGGGAUGACGGCCUUCGGGUUGUAAACCUCUUUCAGUAGGGAAGAAGCGAAAGUGACGGUACCUGCAGAAGAAGCGCCGGCUAACUACGUGCCAGCAGCCGCGGUAAUACGUAGGGCGCAAGCGUUAUCCGGAAUUAUUGGGCGUAAAGAGCUCGUAGGCGGUUUGUCGCGUCUGCUGUGAAAGACCGGGGCUCAACUCCGGUUCUGCAGUGGGUACGGGCAGACUAGAGUGCAGUAGGGGAGACUGGAAUUCCUGGUGUAGCGGUGAAAUGCGCAGAUAUCAGGAGGAACACCGAUGGCGAAGGCAGGUCUCUGGGCUGUAACUGACGCUGAGGAGCGAAAGCAUGGGGAGCGAACAGGAUUAGAUACCCUGGUAGUCCAUGCCGUAAACGUUGGGCACUAGGUGUGGGGGACAUUCCACGUUUUCCGCGCCGUAGCUAACGCAUUAAGUGCCCCGCCUGGGGAGUACGGCCGCAAGG
rnacentral:rRNA from 1 species